CAAGUGGCGGACGGGUGAGUCAUUCGUAAGAAUUUGCCUUUAGGAGGGGGAUAACAACUGGAAACGGUUGCUAAUACCCCAUAUGCUUUCGAGUGAAAUGGAUUUUUCCGCCUAAAGAGAAGCUUGCGGCUGAUUAGCUUGUUGGUAAGGUAAUGGCUUACCAAGGCGACGAUCAGUAUCUGGUUUGAGAGGACGAUCAGACACACUGGAACUGAGACACGGUCCAGACUCCUACGGGAGGCAGCAGUGGGGAAUUUUCCGCAAUGGGCGAAAGCCUGACGGAGCAAUACCGCGUGAGGGAUGACGGCCUAUGGGUUGUAAACCUCUUUUUUCAGGGAGGAAUCAAUGACGUGUACCUGAAGAAUAAGCAUCGGCUAACUCCGUGCCAGCAGCCGCGGUAAGACGGAGGGUGCAAGUGUUAUCCGGAAUCACUGGGCGUAAAGCGUCUGUAGGUGGUCAAAUAAGUCAACUGUUAAAUCUUGAGGCUCAACCUCAAAAUCGCAGUCGAAACUAUUAGACUAGAGUAUAGUAGGGGUAAAGGGAAUUUCCAGUGGAGCGGUGAAAUGCGUAGAGAUUGGAAAGAACACCGAUGGCGAAGGCACUUUACUGGGCUAUUACUAACACUGAGAGACGAAAGCUAGGGUAGCAAAUGGGAUUAGAUACCCCAGUAGUCCUAGCCGUAAAACAUGGAUACUAGAUGUUGAACAGAUCGACCUGUACAGUAUCAAAGCUA
rnacentral:rRNA from 1 species